GUGUCUGUGCGUGUGUGUGUAGAAGUGGGGUGCACUUUGAAGUGUGUGUGUGUGUAGAAGUGGGGUGUGUGUGUGUGUUAUCCAAGAGAAGAAAAAAAAAAAUCCAAACCUGCUUUCAAAAUAUCCAGGCUAUGUGUCAGUCUGUGUGUGUUAUCUGAGAGAAAAAAAAAUGCAAUAUAUAAAGUGUAAAAUAUUGUACUAAUUCAUUAUAUAUAAUGAUUGUGGUGUCUUUAAACUUUUUUCAUUAAUUACUACAUAUUUUUUACACUCACAAUGUUUGCCAGCUCGCUAUAUAAUCAAUUUAAAUCAGUUAAAUCCAUCAUGCAAUGCAUUUCCUUCCAAUUUUUUGUGAUAAACUAAUAGAUAAUUGACUAAAUAAACAUCUUGCAAAGUUUCAAUUAAAAUUUCCAAGUUUUUCUUACAAUUUCCGUGGUUUCCAUGUAAUUUUUAUCGAUAUCGAUAUUUUACCGAUAUUUCCAUCGAUAUUUCCGUGUUUUCGGACUACCGAUAUUUCCGAUAUUACCGAUAUUUAAUACCUUGAUCUCGAUGCAUGCUAAAAUGUACCUAUAACAGUGUUUAAUUGUCAGAAAACGAAAAUUCUUUACAAAUUUUCUUUUGUAAUUUUUAAGUUGUUAAAAAAAACAUGUAGACGGGUGAAAAAGGGGUAAAUGGGUAAAAAAAUGAUAAACGGGUUCAAAAACGGGUAAACGGGUAAAUGUUAUGGUUAAAUGGGUAAACGGUUAUGGUUAAAUGGGUACACGGUUAUGGGUAUGGUUAACCAUUUAUAAACGGUUAUGGGUAUGAGUAUAACCGUUUAUGCAAUUACCCAACGGAUAAACAGUUAUGCGAGUAUGAACAUAAACGGUUAUGGCUAAAUAACCGCGGUUACCCGCCACCAUAACCGUUGCCCAUCAAUAACCAACACCUCCUGCUUUGUCCAUAAUAUUAAAGUUCCUCCAAACCAAAUUACCCUGCAAAUGAAUUAAACCACAGAUUCAUAUGUAACAACAAUAAUUCUAGUUCAUAUUUCCAUUCCACUAUCUACACACUACAAACCAAUAGGUCGACCCAGCUCGCCUGUAAAUGGACUAGGUCGGCCCAGCUCACCUAUAAAUGGACUAGGUUAGCCUAGCUCGCCUACUCAUACCUACUGCUAUAACCUUAUUUUUAGAUAAAGCAACUUCAAAAUUGAAUUUACUAAAGUUAAUGUCCAUAUUGUGCUCAUCAGCUACUAUGUAUAUUCUACUUUAUGUGUAGAAAUUGUGGUAGUAACGAGUUAAGAGUGGCUAAAAUAGAUAUUAACCUCCACAUGUUGAUUUAGUGAAACUUGACAUGGAUAAGGCAGUUUCAACUAUUUAUAAUGCGACUAUUGAAUUAGAUGAUAGAGAUGCAUUGUGUUGUUUGUAAAGCAGGUUGUUUGAUACUUAUAACCCCAUGUUCAGAAGAAGUAACUCUAGAAUUGAAUUAAUGUAGUUAAAUAUCAUGAUGUACAUGUUGAGAAUGAAUCUCACAUUGAUGGGAGGAGAGAUCUUACAUGGGCUUAUAAGAAGUUGGGCUACUCUUCAUAUUGCCAAUUUGUUUGAUGGUGGAACCUCAACUUUCUUCAGUACACAUGACACUAGUAUUUAUAUUCUACUAUGUGUUCAUAUUGUGUGAAUUGAGUUAUGGAGGCUGAAAUGGAAUUCAACAUCUACAUGCUCAUUGAGUGAAGGCUUGGCGUGGAUGGAGCAUUUUCAACUACUGAUAAUGUUCUCCUUGAGAUGUUAGAGAUGCAUUGCUUUGUUUUUAUGACAAUGUGUCUUUAAUGUCUUCCAAAAAACCUUGAUUAUGUAUACAACAACAACAACAACAAAGCCUUUUCCCACUAAGUGGGGUCGGCUAUAUGAAUCCUAGAACGCCAU
rnacentral:lncRNA from 1 species